GGAAGAUGAAAAAUUCACUUCCUUCGUGACAGUCCCCACGCCCAACACCUGCCGAUGGGAAUGUCGUGUUCCACCCUUCCACCCCCUUUGGAGGGAUGAGGAAAAGAGGGUAAGAAACAGAAGAGGGAGCCCAGACACCCCAAGCCAAGGGAAGAGAAAGUGAUUUCUCAGUGAAUCCUGGCAAAUACAGACUCUGGGGCUGAAAGGAUCCAUGGAAAGGAUGCUGGGAGCUUGCGGACCCUGAAAACCACAUGACUUCCUCCAUCAGGCGGGGACUCUCCGGAGAAGCUGCGUCUGGGAAAGUGUGUUAUUCUCCAGCUUUCUACCCCGGGCGAUGCUGGGGGAAAAGGAGCCUCGUUGGGAUUAGAAACACACUUUGCUCAGAGCUCGGAAGACCCGGGAGAGGUUCUCCGGGCCGCUGGAAAGGAGCGUUUAGCAGGGAGCUGGGAGGCAGGUACCAGCCGCACUCACAUGUGAAGGUACAGACGUCGGUCGCCGGCUCCUGCCAUUGCCUGGAAGUGAAUCGGGAGCUGCUCACAACUGACAUGUCCAGGAAGGGCUGCUGGGAAUAGUGUCUUUUACCCACUGGAGCGGAGAAGAAGGCCUUGGCGGAUAUCACUAAGCAGAUUCCUUUUUUUUUCUUUUUCUUUUCUUUUUAUGGGCACACCUGAGGUGUGUGGGGAGUCCCAGGCUAGGGGUUGAAUUGGAACUACGGCCUACACCACAGCCCAUGGCAACACUGGAUCCUUAACCCACUGAGCGAGGCCAGGGAUCGAACCCGCAUCCUCACAGAAACUGUGUUGGGUUCUUAACCUGCUGAGCCACAACGGGAACUCCUCACUGAGCCGAUUCUGAUGGCUUUCUGUUUUUCCUUUUCCUCCUCUUUCUGGGGUCUUCUCCUCUGCCCAUUUCUAAAAUAUGGGGGUUUUGCUGCCAACUCUUUCCCCCUGUAACUCUGCCAACUCCAGCCUCUCUCUGGCCCUCCCCCGUCUCCUCCCCCUCCCUUCUCCUCUUCUGGGACCUCAGAUAAAAAUAGGGCCCUGGGCUAAAGCAGGGUGGAUCUUAGAGUUCUGGUCUGGUUUCCACAGUUGACACAAGAGGAAACUGAGGCCCAGAGUGGAAUGGGACUCUUUGGACCUUCUUGGUGUCUGUGGACAGGGCCAAAAUGAAUUUGUAGAAACGGCGCUUCUGUGUAGUGGGAAAGAGGCACUUUCUGAGCUGUGGUGACAGUGUGUGUAAGGCAGCAAUCUCGGUGUGGUCCUAGCCAAGUUACAGUACGUAUGGCGCAUACCAGAGGGAGGCGGUGGCAUGGUGCCAGCAUCACCUGUCAAUGGGAACCUUUGCUUGUGGAUGUCACAGGAUGGUCCCCCUGCUGGAUGAGCUCGCCUAUGGCGAAGGGCUGGCUAAUGGAAUACCUGGUACCCUGGGCACCAGAAAUGUCAUUCAGUCCUCUCGACAGGGUGGCAGACUGUGAUGUUUAGGAUGUGGUUCUGGAACAAGGUUCCAGGGGUUCUGAUCCUAGCUCUGCAGUUUACCAGCUCUGUGACUUUGGACACAUUAUUUCCAGUCUCUGGGCUUCAAAUUUCCUGUCCAUAAAAUGAAGAAGAUAAUUGCACCACUCCGUAGGGUUAAUGUGGGGAUAAAAUGAGGCUUUUAAGUGCUCCAUAAACAUUGGCU
rnacentral:lncRNA from 9 species